UGGGUUUGAUCCUGGCUCAGAUUGAACGCUGGCGGGAUGCUUUACAUACGAAGUCGAACGGCAGCACGGACUUCAGUCUGGUGGCGAGUGGCGAACGGGUGAGUAAUGUAUCGGAACGUGCCUAGUAGCGGGGGAUAACUACGCGAAAGCGUAGCUAAUACCACGCCGCCCUUCGGGGAAAGCAGGGGACCUUCGGGCCUCGCACUAUUGAAACGGCCGAUAUCGAGUUAGCUAGUUGGUGGAGUAACCGGCUCACCAAGGCGACGAUCCGUAGCUGGUUUGAGAGGACGACCAGCCACACUGGGACUGAGACGCGACCCGAACUCACGGAGGCAGCAGUGGGAAUUUUGGACAAUGGGGAAACCCUGAUCCAGCCAAGCCCGCGUGUGCGAUGAAGGCCUUCGGGUUGUAAAGCACUUUUGGCGGGAAAGAAACGGCACGGGAUAAUACGCCACCCGUGCCGUUUCUUUCCGCCGCGGGGCCCGCGUAGCCCCGAGGCCUUCGUCCGCACGCCCGGAGUGGAUCCGGACCCCCCAUUAAUCAAAAUUUUACUCCGUAGGUGCGGAGCCGUGUCUCAGUCCCGGUGUCCCCCGGUAGUCCGUCCUCUCAAACCGGCCCCGCGGAUCGUCGCCCCCCGUGGCCGUUCCCCCCCCACCCUUUAGUAGUCCGAUAGUCGGCCGCUCUGUAGUGCAACCCGAAGAUCCCCACUUUCCCCGAGGGGCGUAUGCGACAUUAGCUACGCUUUCGCGUAGUUAUCCCCGCUACCGUUCGAUACUCACCGUUCGCCACUCGCCGCCAGACCGAGGCUCCGUAGCGCCGUUCGUGUAUGCAAGGCGGCUCGCGUUCAAUCUGAGCCGAGAUCAAACC
rnacentral:misc_RNA from 1 species